AAGUAAAAAAAAUAAAUUCCCAGAGACAGCUUACCUUUUCGGAUACAGAGGGAUAAAGACAUCCUCCUCUACAGACUGCUUCAUCCUCAGGACAACCGUGUUAAUCAAAUCCUGCCAAAAAAAGAAAAAAGGAAAAAUAUUAACACAUCCUCACAAGAAAAGGAUCUCACCUUCCACUUACAACAAUUUUAGGCAGUUAUUUUGUUCAUGUGGAAAAGCAAAAUGCUAAUUCAGCUGAAUGCAGGUGCCACUGUAUAUAAUAGACACUAAGAUCGUGACUGCAUUAAAGACCUGUGAGCAAGUCUCAGCUUAAACCUUUUUUUUUUUUUUUUUUUAAUUAAAUCCUCUUGGAUAAUGAGAUUAACGUAUUUUCCAGCUAUGAAGUUCUAUUAAAAAGAAACACAACAAAACACCACAGCUACUAUACAAACACAAUCUUAUCUAAAGCUUCUUCCUGAAGUCAAGUGUGGCGACUGCAUAAACGUUUGUUAUUAUUUCUUUUCAUACUAAGGGCCUAAACAUCAACUUAGUUUCACCUACUUUAUGCUGGAUAAAAUCCCAGAUUUGCAUGAGAAUAAAACCAGAACUGGGCUAAGUGUAUGUUACAGUGAAUAUUUACAGUGAAGUGCAUACACCGUAUCAAGAACUUCCUUCCCCAUUAUCACAACAGCCUUUACCUGUUUUGCCUGACUGCAUUCCCUUCUGGACAGGACUUGUUUUUCAAACACGUUAUCACAAAGCUGUGUGGCUGAAGAGCCACGACAAAAGGACUGACAGCCCCACCUGCCCUGAGUCGCUCACCUUCCCGCUCCUCCUCCUCGCUCCCGAAGCUCAGC
rnacentral:lncRNA from 7 species